UACGGAGGAUGCAAGCGUUAUCCGGAAUGAUUGGGCGUAAAGCGUCCGCAGGUGGCAAUGUAAGUCUGCUGUCAAAGCGUCUGGCUCAACCAGAUAAAGGCAGUGGAAACUACAUAGCUAGAGUAAGGUAGGGGUAGAGGGAAUUCCUGGUGUAGCGGUGAAAUGCGUAGAUAUCGUAAGGAAGACCAGUGGCGAAGGCGGGUCUCUGGACAGUUCCUGACGCUGAGGCACGAAGGUCAGGGGAGCAAACGGG
rnacentral:rRNA from 1 species